AUUGAACGCUGGCGGCAGGCCUAACACAUGCAAGUCGAGCGGAUGAAGGGAGCUUGCUCCUGGAUUCAGCGGCGGACGGGUGAGUAAUGCCUAGGAAUCUGCCUGGUAGUGGGGGAUAACGUCCGGAAACGGGCGCUAAUACCGCAUACGUCCUGAGGGAGAAAGUGGGGGAUCUUCGGACCUCACGCUAUCAGAUGAGCCUAGGUCGGAUUAGCUAGUUGGUGGGGUAAAGGCCUACCAAGGCGACGAUCCGUAACUGGUCUGAGAGGAUGAUCAGUCACACUGGAACUGAGACACGGUCCAGACUCCUACGGGAGGCAGCAGUGGGGAAUAUUGGACAAUGGGCGAAAGCCUGAUCCAGCCAUGCCGCGUGUGUGAAGAAGGUCUUCGGAUUGUAAAGACCUUUAAGUUGGGAGGAAGGGCAGUAAGUUAAUACCUUGCUGUUUUGACGUUACCAACAGAAUAAGCACCGGCUAACUUCGUG
rnacentral:rRNA from 1 species